rnacentral:lncRNA from 1 species
AGUCAGUCCGGAGGCUGCGGCUGCAGAAGUACCGCCUGCGGAGUAACUGCAAAGAUGCUGUCCGUGCGCGUUGCUGCGGCCGUGGUCCGCGCCCUUCCUCGGCGGGCCGGACUGGUCUCCAGAAAUGCUUUGGGUUCAUCUUUCAUUGCUGCAAGGAACUUCCAUGCCUCUAACACUCAUCUUCAAAAGACUGGGACUGCUGAGAUGUCCUCUAUUCUUGAAGAGCGUAUUCUUGGAGCUGAUACCUCUGUUGAUCUUGAAGAAACUGGGCGUGUCUUAAGCUGGUGAUGUGUCUGCUUACAUUCCAACAAAUGUCAUUUCCAUCACUGACGGACAGAUCUUCUUGGAAACAGAAUUGUUCUACAAAGGUAUCCGCCCUGCAAUUAACGUUGGUCUGUCUGUAUCUCGUGUCGGAUCCGCUGCCCAAACCAGGGCUAUGAAGCAGGUAGCAGGUACCAUGAAGCUGGAAUUGGCUCAGUAUCGUGAGGUUGCUGCUUUUGCCCAGUUCGGUUCUGACCUCGAUGCUGCCACUCAACAACUUUUGAGUCGUGGCGUGCGUCUAACUGAGUUGCUGAA